rnacentral:snoRNA from 1 species
AGCCCAAGGUGUGGACAUCUCUUGAGCAAAUCUUUAAAUAGUUCCCAAGCCUCAUAUAAGGAUUCAACAUCAAAUUGUGUGAAGGAAGUUAUAUCAUUCCUCAACUU